UACGGAGGGUGCAAGCGUUAUCCGGAUUCACUGGGUUUAAAGGGUGCGUAGGCGGGUAGGUAAGUCCGUGGUGAAAUCCUGCAGCUUAACUGCAGAACUGCCGUGGAUACUAUUUAUCUUGAAUGUCGUGGAGGUUAGCAGAAUAUGUCAUGUAGCGGUGAAAAUGCUUAGAUAUGACAUAGAAAUACCCAUUGCGAAGGCAGCUAACUACGCGAUAAUUGACGCUGAGGCACGAAAGCGUGGGGAUCAAACAGG
rnacentral:rRNA from 1 species